rnacentral:rRNA from 1 species
UACGAAGGGGCUAGCGUUGUUCGGAAUUACUGGGCGUAACAGCGCGCGCAGGCGGUCCACUAGUGCGUGUGACAAACGUCGGCUUAACCGACGGAGGCCAGGGUACACGGGUGAACUUGGGGCAGAGAGAGGGGAUGUGGAAUACCCGGUGGAGCGGUGAAAUGCGUAGAGAUCGGGUGGAACACCAGGGGCGAAGGCGGCAUCCCUGGACUGAUACUGACACUGAGGUGCGAAA